GUGAUGAUGAAACAAGCUAAUGCUCCUAAGAUAAGACUCUGCAAUAAAAGAAACAGGAUUUGUUUUAAUGCAUGAUUUAAAAAAAUCUACAUUGUCAGAAUGUAAAUCUGAUUAUAUCACAGUACAGUGGCCUGUAUUGUUUUGCACAUACAUUUUUAACAUUUCUUACAUUUUGAAGAAAUGAAAUACAUGAAAAUAAUAAAAAAAGCACACAGUAUAGAAGGAUAAAAUAAUACCAAUUUCUUUCUCUUCCCCCAACCCAACCUUAGUCUCUCUCCUUAAAAGUAACCACUAUUAACAGUUUAUAUUUCAUACUAGAAAGAAGUCUGUAUAUAUACUGGUAAAGUACAUAUACAUUGAUUUUGGUAGAAACAGUGAGGAAGAGCCUCAGUUUUCUUUCUUUCCAAACAGCUGCUGAUUAUCUCAACAUCAUUUAUUGGGAAAUGCCAGUAUUAUCCCUAUUGAUCUGAAAUCCAACCUUUAUUGUAUACUAAAUUCUCAGAUGUAGUUCGGUCUCUUGAGACUGUUCUCUUCCAUUGAAUUGGUGCUUCCUUCUCUAGUACUCUAAGUUAUAGACAAUUCACUCUAUACUGAGUUAUUGUUUCACCUAGUCUUCCUCUUCUUACUCAUUCUCAGACUGUUUAUGUCUCCCAUGUUUGUGUUGGUCAAGUUCCCCAGACUAAGCCUGUUGGCAUUUUAGUUGGGAUUUCUAAAUGAAAUACUUACUUAUAAUUUGGAAAAAUUACAGAAUUUAGUUUUUCUCAAGAACAAAAUAUAUCUUUCCAGUUAUUUUAGUGGUUUUUAAAAAAUAUCUCUCAGGAGAGUUUUAAAGUUUUCUUCCCAUAUGUGUAUCACAUUUCACUUAUUUUUAGAUAUUUGAUCAUUUUUGAUGACUGUUGUAAACAGAAAUAUUUUCUUAUAUUUUAAGUGGUUAUUUGUCUAGGAAAGCUUUUAUUUAUUAACACAAUAACGAGUCACCUGACUAAAUCAUCUUGCUCUAAAUUGUUUCCAGUUGAUUUGUUUUUUUCUAGAUAUGCAAUUACAUUAGCUGAAAGAAAGCAUAUAUUUUACCUCCUUUUUUUUUUUUUUUGAGACAGUCUUGCUCUGUCGCUCAGGCUGGAGUGCAGUGGUGUGAUCUCAGCUCACUGCAACCUCUGCUUCCUGGGUUCGAACAAUUCUCCUGCCGCAGCCUCCCGAGUAGCUGGGACUACAGGCGCGUGUCACUAAGACUGGCUAAUUUUUGAAUUUUUAGUAGAGACGGGGUUUCACCAUAUUGGCCAGGCUGGUCUUGAACUCCUGACUGAGGUUAUCUGCCUACCUUGGCCUCCCAAAGUGCUGGGAUUACAGAUGUGAGUCACUGCGCCUGGCCACCUCUUUUCAAAUAUUAUUUCCCAUUCCUAAUUAUGAUGACUAGUGGUUUCAGAAAAAAUUGACUCAUGGUGUAGGCAUCAUUUUUCCCCUCAUUUAAUAAAUAAUACUUCUGAUAUUUAAUUAAAUAUGCUGACUCUUAGUUUGAAAUGUUUAUUUUUACAAUGUCAAUGGAAUAUUUAUAUACUCCUAUCUUACUGGUCUCCCUUCUUGGCAAUCAGGGACAAAUGUUGAAUUUUGUCACAUGUUCUGUGACAUAAUCUCCUAAUUUUUUAUAAUGUGAUAGAUAUAAUCUCAUUUUCACUUUUACUUCUAAUACAGUGAAUUAUUUUAAUAGAAUCUUAAUAUUGAAUCAUCCUGUUUCUUUCUUGUGGUAUUGUAUUUUCAAAAAAUACUGAUGAAUAUUAUCUGCUAAUAGAUUGACAUUUUGUUCUGAUGCAAGUGAGAUCUCUACUUCGUUUUCUUUUUCUGAACUCAGUCAAGUUUUCCUAUCAGUAUUAUACUGAUUGUGUAAAGAUAGUUCAGAAGUUAUUUCUUCUUUCUCUAUUCUUUGACAAAGUUAGAGUAGUGUCAGAAUUAUAUCCCAUGAAGGCUUGAAAGAGUUAACUUGUAAAAAGGUCUGGGCCUGAUACAUUUUUGAAAGAUACUCAUUUGCUAAAAUUCUCAUUUUCUUCUAUGUUUAUAUUGCCCUGUUUAGAUUUUUCCCUAUUCUGGGAUCAGUUUUGGUGAUUUACAUUAUUCUGGAAAAUCAACCAUUUCAUCCAAUUAUUCACAUCUAUUUUGCAAGGUACUCCUGUAGAUCCUUUCAGUUUUGCUGAUGUUUGUGAUUAUUUUCCCCUUCUGGUUUCUAAUUUUAAAUAUAUGUCUUUUCUUCCCCCUUUUUUUCUUGGUUGGCCAAUGGCUUAUCAAUUUAAUAGGACUUUCAAACGACAGCUCUUGUAUUGACUGAUUCUAUUAUUUUUGUUUCCUAACUUAUAAAUUCCUAUUAUCUUCAUUGCUUCCCUAAUUUCCUUUGUGAGAGGAAACUGAACCAACCCAAAUGUCCAUCAAUGAUAGACUGGAUAAAGAAAAUGUGGCACAUAUACACCAUGGAAUACUAUGCAGCCAUAAAAAAGGAUGAGUUCAUGUCCUUUGCGGGGACAUGGAUGAAGCUGGAAACCAUUAUUCUCAGCAAACUAACGCAAGAACAGAAAACCAAACACUGCAUGUUCUCACUCAUAAGUGAGAGUUGAACAACGAGAACACAUGGACACAGGGAGGGGAACAUCACACACUGGGGCCUGUAGGGAGUGGGGGACUAGGGGAGGGAUAGCAUUAGGAGAAAUACCUAAUGUAGGUGACGAGUUGAUGGGUGCAGCAAACCACCAUGGCGCGUAUAUACCUAUGUAACAAAACUGCACGUUCUACACAUGUACCCCGUAAGUUAAAGUAUAAUAAAAAAAAAAAAAAAAGAAAAAAUAGGGAAAAAAAGAGGCAAGUUUAGUAGGAAAGGUUUAGUGUGUGGGGAGCAGGGGGUGGUGGGGAGGAAAGGUGAGGCAAAACAAAGGUGAGUGGCAAAGUGAAUUAUGGAAGGUUUCUGGAGCUGGCACCCCGUGGGCAUUUCCCCGAGGCCACUGCCGGCCACAUCCGCCCAGCUAGGUCUCACCAGCUCUCCGCUCACCAGUCUCAGGAUCUUCAACAUUCCAGUGGGCGAGAAGGAGAAACGUUUGAGGCUGUCCCUGAAUUUGUACGGGACUUUGGCUCGGCCCUCCACGCGCUCUUUGAUCGCCAUCUCAUUUAAGAGUUUGGAUUCAGUGUGUGCAGAGGGCGUGGGGGG
rnacentral:lncRNA from 1 species